rnacentral:rRNA from 1 species
AUUUUCCGGUUGAUCCUGCCGGAGGUUACUGCUAUCGGUGUUCGACUAAGCCAUGCAAGUCAUAUGUUCUUCGUGAACAUGGCAUACUGCUCAGUAACACGUGGAUAACCUGCCCUUGGGUCUGGGAUAACCCCGGGAAACUGGGGAUAAUACCGGAUAACGCAUAUGUGCUGGAAUGCUUUAUGCGUAAAACGGAUUCGUCCGCCCAAGGAUGGGUCUGCGGCCUAUCAGGUAGUAGUGGGUGUAAUGUACCUACUAGCCAACAACGGGUACGGGUUGUGAGAGCAAGAGCCCGGAGAUGGAUUCUGAGACAUGAAUCCAGGCCCUACGGGGCGCAGCAGGCGCGAAAACUUUACAAUGCGGGAAACCGUGAUAAGGGAACACCGAGUGCCAGCAUCAUAUGCUGGCUGUCCAGAUGUGUAAAGUACAUCUGUUAGCAAGGGCCGGGCAAGACCGGUGCCAGCCGCCGCGGUAACACCGGCGGCCCGAGUGGUGACCGUUAUUAUUGGGUCUAAAGGGUCCGUAGCCGGUUUGGUCAGUCCUCCGGGAAAUCUGAUAGCUUAACUGUUAGGCUUUCGGGGGAUACUGCCAGGCUUGGAACCGGGAGAGGUAAGAGGUACUACAGGGGUAGGAGUGAAAUCUUGUAAUCCCUGUGAGACCACCUGUGGCGAAGGCGUCUUACCAGAACGGGUUCGACGGUGAGGGACGAAAGCUGGGGGCACGAACCGGAUUAGAUACCCGGGUAGUCCCAGCCGUAAACUAUGCUCGCUAGGUGUCAGGCAUGGCGCGACCGUGUCUGGUGCCGCAGGGAAGCCGUGAAGCGAGCCACCUGGGAAGUACGGCCGCAAGGCUGAAACUUAAAGGAAUUGGCGGGGGAGCACAACAACGGGUGGAGCCUGCGGUUUAAUUGGAUUCAACGCCGGAAAU